AACGAACGCUGGCGGCAUGCCUAACACAUGCAAGUCGAACGUGAUCCGGGACUUCGGCUUCGGUGAAAGUGGCGGACGGGUGAGUAACGCGUGGGAACCUGCCCAGUGGUAGGGGAUAACCGCGGGAAACUGCGGCUAAUACCCUAUGUGCCCUGCGGGGCGAAAGAUUCAUCGCCAUUGGAGGGGCCCGGCGUCGGAUUAGGUAGUUGGUGGGGUAACGGCCGUACCAAGCCUUCGAUCCGUAGCUGGUCNGAGAGGAUGAUCAGCCACACUGGGACUGAGACACGGCCCAGACUCCUACGGGAGGCAGCAGUGGGGAGGUAUUGGACAAUGGGGGCAACCCGUGAUCCAGCAAUGCCGCGUGAGUGAUGAAGG
rnacentral:rRNA from 1 species